rnacentral:rRNA from 1 species
GCGUCGUCCGGAUCUAUUGGGCGUAAAGCGCGCGCAGGCGGAUAGGUCAGUCUGUCUUAAAAGUUCGGGGCUUAACCCCGUGAUGGGAUGGAAACUGCCAAUCUAGAGUAUCGGAGAGGAAAGUGGAAUUCCUAGUGUAGCGGUGAAAUGCGUAGAUAUUAGGAAGAACACCAGUGGCGAAGGCGACUUUCUGGACGAAAACUGACGCUGAGGCGCGAAAGCCAGGGGAGCGAACGGGAUUAGAUACCCCGGUAGUCCUGGCCGUAAACGAUGGGUACUAGGUGUAGGAGGUAUCGACCCCUUCUGUGCCGGAGUUAACGCAAUAAGUACCCCGCCUGGGGAGUACGACCGCAAGGUUGAAACUCAAAGGAAUUGACGGGGGCCCGCACAAG